UACGUAGGGUCCGAGCGUUGUCCGGAAUUAUUGGGCGUAAAGGGCUCGUAGGCGGUUCGUCACGUCGGGAGUGAAAACUCGGGGCUUAACCCCGAGCCUGCAGUCGAUACGGGCAGACUAGAGUGCUGUAGGGGAGACUGGAAUUCCUGGUGUAGCGGUGAAAUUCGUAGAUAUCGGGAGGAACACCAGUGGCGAAGGCGGUUCUCUGGGCAUUACCUGACGCUGAGGAGCGAAAGUGUGGGGAGCGAACAGG
rnacentral:rRNA from 1 species